rnacentral:rRNA from 1 species
AAAACACAGUCUCAGUUCAGAUUGUAGGCUGAAACUCGCCUAUAUGAAGUCGGAAUUGCUAGUAAUCGCGGAUCAGCAUGCCGCGGUGUAUACGUUCCCGGGCCUUGUACACACCGCCCGUCACACCAUGAGAGUCGAUAACACCCGAAGCCUGUAGUCUAACCUUAGGGGGGACGCAGUCGAAGGUGGGAUUGAUAAUUAGGGUGAAGUCGUAACAAGGUAUC